UAAUUCCAACCGUGCUGCAUUCAUAUCCU
rnacentral:piRNA from 1 species